CUAGAGGAGACUGAGAGGGACUAAAAUAUUUACUAUAAGCAGUUUGGUAUAAGAGUUCUCAUAGGUAUAAUUAGGAUGAUGGGUAAUAUAGCUUGAAACUUGUAAUUAGUGAUUAUUAUUAUUGAUAAUAGAAGAUGACAUGCCUGUAGAUGCAGCCCUAUUGAGAGGAUGAACCACACAAAUAUUAUUAUCUUGUGUGUUUACUUUAUUUUUUUUUGUAGUUUACAUAUUUCUGUGGUGUAUAACACCAUCUACUUUAUGCUUUAUAAUGAAUACCCAGUUGCUUCCCACUGGUUUCUUUCCUGAUGGAAGAGAAACAAGAUCCCAUGUCUCAUUUUUUGCCAAUGCUAUUAUCUCUUUACCGUAGUUUCCUUCCAUUUUGGAUCAAGACAUA
rnacentral:misc_RNA from 1 species